UACGUAGGGGGCAAGCGUUGUCCGGAUUUACUGGGCGUAAAGAGCGUGUAGGCGGCCAGACCGGUCCGUUGUGAAAACUGGAGGCUCAACCUUCAGACGUCGACGGAAACCGUCUGGCUAGAGUCCGGAAGAGGAGAGUGGAAAUUCCUGGUGUAGCGGUGAAAUGCGCAGAUAUCAGGAAGAACACCGAUGGCGAAGGCAGCUCUCUGGGACGGUACUGACGCUGAGACGCGAAAGCGUGGGGAGCGAACAGG
rnacentral:rRNA from 1 species